AAAACUGUUUCACUUAAUUUGGAGAAAGGAAGCAUAUACGUUUGCAUUUGGAGCAAGGAAGGAACAAGCAUGCUCGGGCUCAAGGACUUGGUUUAUUCCUGGGUGACUGAAAGUCCAUGCCAUGAGGCAUCCUCUGGGAGUGUGAGCAGAGUAGCAGCAAGCACAUGAAGAAGGGCUGUGAUGAGACGGCAGUGCAGUGAGGGCACUUUCAGGGAAGUGGAAGGAUGUGGCUUUAAUAAGAGUAAGAGCCUGAACUAUACGGGAGAGAAAAAGGAGAAACCUGCUGCCGUUGCCACAGCCAUGGCCAGAGUUCUUCGGGAAACCAAGCCAAUCCCUAACCUCAUCUUUGCCAUAGAACAGUAUGAAAAAUUUCUCAUCCACCUUUCUAAGAAGUCCAAGGUGAACCUGAUGCAGCACAUGAAGCUCAGCACCUCACGAGACUUCAAGAUCAAAGGAAACAUCCUAGACAUGGUUCUUCGAGAGGAUGGCGAAGAUGAAAAUGAAGAGGGCACUGCAUCAGAGCAUGGGGGACAGAAC
rnacentral:sRNA from 1 species